UACGAAGGGGUGCAAGCGUUACUCGGAAUUACUGGGCGUAAAGCGUGCGUAGGUGGUUUGUUAAGUCUGUUGUGAAAGCCCCGGGCUCAACCUGGGAAUGGCAAUGGAUACUGGCAAGCUAGAGUGCGGUAGAGGGUAGUGGAAUUCCCGGUGUAGCGGUGAAAUGCGUAGAGAUCGGGGAGGAACACCAGUGGCGAAGGCGGCCAUCUGGACCAGCACUGACGCUGAGGCACGAAAGCGUGGGGAGCAAACAGG
rnacentral:rRNA from 1 species